UUGUCCGGAAUUAUUGGGCGUAAAGCGCGCGCAGGCGGAUCAGUCAGUCUGUCUUAAAAGUUCGGGGCUUAACCCCGUGAUGGGAUGGAAACUGCUGAUCUAGAGUAUCGGAGAGGAAAGUGGAAUUCCUAGUGUAGCGGUGAAAUGCGUAGAUAUUAGGAAGAACACCAGUGGCGAAGGCGACUUUCUGGACGAAAACUGACGCUGAGGCGCGAAAGCCAGGGGAGCGAACGGGAUUAGAUACCCCGGUAGUCCUGGCCGUAAACGAUGGGUACUAGGUGUAGGAGGUAUCGACCCCUUCUGUGCCGGAGUUAACGCAAUAAGUACCCCGCCUGGGGAGUACGACCGCAAGGUUGAAACUCAAAGGAAUUGACGGGGGCCCGCACAAGCGGUGGAGUAUGUGGUUUAAUUCGACGCAACGCGAAGAA
rnacentral:rRNA from 1 species